ACCUGAUGGUGUGGGCAUUUAUGAAGUAGGUCCUUGAAACGCUCUUAGGUCUCAAAGAAAAGUUCCCUAUUCGUUUGUGUGAAACUUGUGAUUGCCCUUCGUAGCU